CCUACGGGAGUCAGUAGUGAGGAAUAUUGGUCAAUGGGCGCGAGCCUGAACCAGCCAAGUAGCGUGAAGGAUGACUGCCCUACGGGUUGUAAACUUCUUUUAUAAAGGAAUAAAGUGAGGCACGUGUGCCUUUUUGUAUGUACUUUAUGAAUAAGGAUCGGCUAAUUCCGUGCCAGCAGCCGCGGUAAUACGGAGGGUCCGAGCAUUAUCCGGAUGUAUUGGGUUUAAAGGGAGCGUAGAUGGGUUGUUAAGUCAGUUGUGAAAGGUUGCGGCUCAACCGUACAAUUGCAAUUGAUACUGGCAGCCUUGAGUCCAGUUGAGGUAGGCGGAAUUCGUGGUGUAGCGGUGAAAUGCUUAGAUAUCACGAAGAACUCCGAUUGCGAAGGCAGCUUACUGAACUGCCACUGACAUUGAGGCUCGAAAGUGUGGGUAUCAAACAGGAUUAGAUACCCCAGUAGUC
rnacentral:rRNA from 1 species